AUUGAACGCUGGCGGCAUGCUUUACACAUGCAAGUCGAACGGUAACAGGCCGCAAGGUGCUGACGAGUGGCGAACGGGUGAGUAAUGCAUCGGAACGUGCCCAGUCGUGGGGGAUAACUGCUCGAAAGAGCAGCUAAUACCGCAUACGAUCUAUGGAUGAAAGCGGGGGACCGUAAGGCCUCGCGCGAUUGGAGCGGCCGAUGUCAGAUUAGGUAGUUGGUGGGGUAAAGGCUCACCAAGCCAACGAUCUGUAGCUGGUCUGAGAGGACGACCAGCCACACUGGGACGGAGACACGGCCCAGACUCCUACGGGAGGCAGCAGUGGGGAAUUUUGGACAAUGGGGGCAACCCUGAUCCAGCAAUGCCGCGUGCAGGAAGAAGGCCUUCGGGUUGUAAACUGCUUUUGUACGGAACGAAACGGUCUGGGUUAAUACCCUGGGCUAAUGACGGUACCGUAAGAAUAAGCACCGGCUAACUACGUGCCAGCCGCCGCCGUAACAC
rnacentral:rRNA from 1 species